rnacentral:rRNA from 1 species
CCUACGGGCGGCAGCAGUGAGGAAUAUUGGUCAAUGGGCUUACGCCUGAACCAGCCAAGUCGCGUGAGGGAAGACUGCCCUAUGGGUUGUAAACCUCUUUUGUCAGGGAGCAAUUGGCGCUACGUGUAGCGUUAUCGAGAGUACCUGAAGAAAAAGCAUCGGCUAACUCCGUGCCAGCAGCCGCGGUAAUACGGAGGAUGCGAGCGUUAUCCGGUUUUAUUGGGUUUAAAGGGUGCGUAGGCGGAAUGCCAAGUCAGCGGUAAAAUCGCGGGGCUCAACCUCGCUCCGCCGUUGAAACUGGCGUGCUUGAGUGGGCGAGAAGUAUGCGGAAUGCGUGGUGUAGCGGUGAAAUGCAUAGAGAUCACGCAGAACUCCGAUUGCGAAGGCAGCAUACCGGCGCCCAACUGACGCUGAAGCACGAAAGCGUGGGUAUCGAACAGGAUUAGAUACCCCAGUAGUC